UUUUUAGAUUUCAGUAUCGAUUUUGUAAUCUAGCUUUCAGUACUGAUUGAAAUACAAACUUUUCUCCGGCUCCACCGCCACUUUUUAUUUAAUAUAUUAAUAUUUCACUGAGCCACAAGGCCAGUGAUUGGAAUUAAUUCUCAACAUAACCUACUCGCCCAAUCCAAAAGCAAGAACGCAACAUCGUUGGGUCGACAUCAUUGGACUUGCAGCAGGACAGAAAGUUGGAUAGAAAGUCGGACAGAAAACGGACAGAAAGGCGGAGGACAAGACGCAGCAAUAUUGAAAACCAUAGUUUUGAAUACAACAAACACAACAUUAAGAUAUAUAAAACAUAUCUUAUGAGUGAACGUGAAUGGCAUAAGCAGAUGAACAGAAGAGAAAACGGACGUAAAUACGGAGAAACCAGCAAGCCAACAGGAGGAAGGACAAAUCGAUAAGGACAAAUGUAUGAAAGAGAGAGAGAGAGUUGUGGAGACGGACGGAAAGAGGAGAAGAUAGACGGACGGAAAGCCAGAUAGACGAACAGAUGCAUAAGCGAGUAGAACUACGGACAUAUGGACGCAUAAAAAAAAGCUGAUCAAACAGAUUGACAGACAGACGGAACGAACAAAUAGAGCUACAGACAGAGGUGUAAAGACAAACGGACAGACAAAAAGACGGAUGUACGGAAAUUGCUACAUGCUAGACAAACAAAUAAGCGACACAGUCGAAAUAAUACUACAAGCAACAAUACAAUAUAACAGCAAUACAAUAUAACAUUCAUUCUCACCAGAAGCAAAGAUAAGAGACAAAAUUAAUAGAGCUCAAACACGUCUAUUACAAAGACAUAGCGCAGACAAAAAGGACAGAACCCUCCAAGUAAGCGAAAUUGUUUAUUAAAUUAAGCAAAAGAUUGGGUAACAAGCUUACGCCCUUAUAUAAAGUUACGGUAGAAGCUGACCUGGUAUCGACAGUCCUAAUUAAGGGGAGGGAAGUCCAUAAGGAUCUAAAAUAAACUAUCCUCUCAAGUACUCUUCCACUAGGUCUUGGAUUCCACUUGCAGAAUGGAAUUAUAAUUUCUGAAAUUGAAACAUUAAUGUUGUUCAUUACUCUUAUAAAGAUCCAAAUUACAAACCCAGCAAUCUUUGACUUUAAUGAACUAAGCUAAAUUUUAAAUGAGCACUCCACAGAUCUCACCAUAACAGACUAAUCAAAAUAGCUUACAUAAAAGACUUGUUAGAUCAUAAUUAAAUUAACCUAGCGUAAUAUGUAAGAAAAUAGCCAUGUAAUGAAACAAUACUUAACUUCGCUGGAAAUAACAACGUUGCUAGCAAAAAUAUUACAAAUUGGUCAUCCAUGGCACAUACUUGCUGACUUUUGAUGAGGACAUUCUAUGUAAAUGGGUCCCUGUACAAAAAUACAAAAACCCAUACUCAGGCGUCACCCAGGCUCGGUAGUAUCGGCUACCCUAAAUAUAUAUAUUAAUAUAUCACUAAGCCGCAAGACCAGUGAUUGAAAUGAAUUCUCAACAUAAGCUUCCCUGAAGUCCGCCAACCACUGGAGGAGACACAGGGGAAACAAUUAACUUGCAUAGGUUGCUAAUAGUGGAUCUAUAAAAUAAUGGUGAAUGAUUUGAAAAACCUUCCUCACGGAGUUCAACUGCUCUAUCAAAGGCAAUUAUGCAACGCAUGAAUAAAACCAUGUUGAAUAAAAAAUGAAAUUUGAGAACUUGGUUCCAGUUAAUUUAGCUUAUGUGGAUAUACACAAAGAAUUUCUCCCAGAUUCAUUUUUCUUUUGUUUCAGACUGUGAAGAAACCGAAUAAUGAGUUUGUGGCACCUUAGUGCGUUUCUGAGUAUAAUUCUGUCGUUUAGCCAUGUUACAGGAUUAACGCAUCCAACCAAUCCAAAUAUAAUCAUAAUACUUAUAGAUGAUUUGGGUUUCAAUGAUGUAAGUUUUCACGGCUCCAAUCAAAUCUUAACGCCAAAUAUUGAUGCAUUUGCUUAUAAUGGAGUAAUACUCAAUCGCUAUUAUGUACCCAAUUUAUGCACACCCUCGAGAGCUGCAUUGCUUACCGGAAAAUACCCAAUACAUACGGGCAUGCAACAUUUUGUGCAAAUACCAGACGAGCCCUGGGGCUUGCCACUAGGUCACCGUCUUAUGCCCCAGCUCUUUCGUGAUGCAGGAUACUCUACGCAACUGAUUGGCAAAUGGCAUUUGGGAUUUUGGCGCAAGGAUCAAACGCCUACAUUGCGCGGAUUCGACCACCACUAUGGAUAUUAUAAUGGUUACAUCGAUUAUUAUGAUCACACACAUUAUAUGAUGAGCAAGAACUAUACUGCAGGAGUUGACUUUCGUCAAGACUUAAAACGCGGUUACUUGGAAAACGGUACUUACGCAACGGAAGCUUUUACCGCAGAAGCUGUUCGUGUUAUAGAACAUCAUGAUACUGAGCGUCCGCUUUUCAUGAUUUUAAGUCAUUUAGCUGUGCACACUGGUAACGAAAAUAACCCAAUGCAAGCUCCACUCGAAGAAGUGAACAAAUUUCCACACAUAAUUAAUACGAAACGACGCACUUAUGCUGGCAUGGUUUCCAGUCUGGACAAGAGUGUGGGUCAGACAAUACGUGCUCUUUCAGUUAGGAGUAUGUUAAACAACUCCAUUGUACUGCUCUACUCAGACAAUGGUGCACCCACGUUGGGCAUUCACUCCAACGCGGGAUCGAACCAUCCUUUUCGCGGUGUAUGAAUAUAUAUAUAUAUUCCUAUAGAUUAAGUAACGUGAUCGUGUGCAGUCGAUCCCGUGGGAAACAAUGCUGGGGUGAUCCGACAGCAUACUUUGAACAGCAAGCAAGCAAGCUCUUUUCCACCGUUAUGCAGGGCCCUGCGACUCAGCAAAAAGUACUCGCUAAACGUCUCGUGGAAAAUAAUAAAACUGAAAGUGUACAUAAGAUAUAAGAUAUAACAGAAAAAGUGAUCAUUUGUUCAUCACUUUUGCACAUCCCGGACGUCUAUAAGGAAAUACCAAGAACUCAAAGAUCAAAGAUCCAAGAUCAACAGCUGGCACCAGCUAAGAAGAAGCCCUGAAAUCUUUUAAAGACGCAAACCCAAGCGUACCGCUGAAGAUUACAGUGCAUACCCUGUCGAAAAGUUGCUUAAUUAGAACAUAGGAUUACAAUUAUGAGGCAAACUCUUGCGUAUAGUACGAAAACCUCAGAUAAUAUACUUUUACAGCAUAGAAAAAUUGUACUGUUCAUAUAAGCUAAGCGUCAAGAAUAUAUAUCAGCUUUAGCAAAAUUUAUGAGCAUACUAAAGAUAAUAUUAAGUCAAAAAUUAAAUGAGCGUGGGUGAAUGAUAUAGCUUGUCGAGUAGAUAACAAUUAAUGAGGGUAGGAUUCUGUACUCUCUGGGUCGGCGAAAUUAGUCAUCAUGUAGGCCGUUUACCGGCCUAGGAAAAAUAGAUGUCUGCUGUAAUUGAAAACAUUUAAUGGAGUAUAUGUAGACGGCACCCCACAACCGGAAGCAAGAACACGUGGACUAAGCAGCUCGCCUCCCAAGUACUCGAAUGUCGCCAAACAAGUGCAAUAAUGGGUUUCGUUUUGAUGGAACAGAGAAGAUGCUAACAUUUAUGAGGAGCUGAUCCUUUCAAAACGGUCGGCAGAAGUGCUGCGAAGUACGAAGACAAUAUAUGCGACAUAAGAGCGAGUGGGAACCGAGGAGCAAGCCGUUUUAUAAAUUAUCCAAGAUAGCUGCAAGCAAAUGAAGAGCGGUUAUCAGCACCCAAAACACUUCAAAGUGUCCGCAAAGGAGCGCCACCUAUAAAAUUACGCCACUUAUAAAAUUACGCCCCUAUUAAGCAAAAAGAAUCUCCGUGGGAGGGUGGCCUACGAUCGGCAGGGGCUAUAUGGAGUCCACUAUUAAAAAAUCGUAAUUA